UACGUAGGGUGCAAGCGUUGUCCGGAAUUAUUGGGCGUAAAGAGCUCGUAGGCGGUUUGUUGCGUCGGCUGUGAAAUCCCGAGGCUCAACCUCGGGUCUGCAGUCGAUACGAGCAAACUAGAGUGUUGCAGGGGAGACUGGAAUUCCUGGUGUAGCGGUGAAAUGCGCAGACUAUCAGGAGGAACACCGGUGGCGAAGGCGGGUCUCUGGGCAACAACUGACGCUGGAGGAGCGAAAGCGUCGGGGAGCGAACAGG
rnacentral:rRNA from 1 species